AGAGCGAACGCUGGCGGCAGGCCUAAUACAUGCAAGUCGAACGGACCCUUCGGGGUUAGUGGCGGACGGGUGAGUAACACGUGGGAACGUGCCCUUUGGUUCGGAACAACUCAGGGAAACUUGAGCUAAUACCGAAUGUGCCCUUCGGGGGAAAGAUUUAUCGCCAUUGGAGCGGCCCGCGUCUGAUUAGCUAGUUGGUGAGGUAAAGGCUCACCAAGGCUACGAUCAGUAGCUGGUCUGAGAGGAUGAUCAGCCACACUGGGACUGAGACACGGCCCAGACUCCUACGGGAGGCAGCAGUAGGGAAUCUUGCGCAAUGGGCGAAAGCCUGACGCAGCCAUGCCGCGUGAAUGAUGAAGGUCUUAGGAUUGUAAAAUUCUUUCAGCGGGGACGAUAAUGACGGUACCCGCAGAAGAAGCCCCGGCUAACUUCGCGCCAGCAGCCGC
rnacentral:rRNA from 1 species